rnacentral:rRNA from 1 species
GAGUUUGAUCGUGGCUCAGAUUGAACGCUGGCGGCAGGCCUAACACAUGCAAGUCGAGCGGUAGAGAGAAGCUUGCUUCUCUUGAGAGCGGCGGACGGGUGAGUAAUGCCUAGGAAUCUGCCUGGUAGUGGGGGAUAACGCUCGGAAACGGACGCUAAUACCGCAUACGUCCUACGGGAGAAAGCAGGGGACCUUCGGGCCUUGCGCUAUCAGAUGAGCCUAGGUCGGAUUAGCUAGUUGGUGAGGUAAUGGCUCACCAAGGCGACGAUCCGUAACUGGUCUGAGAGGAUGAUCAGUCACACUGGAACUGAGACACGGUCCAGACUCCUACGGGAGGCAGCAGUGGGGAAUAUUGGACAAUGGGCGAAAGCCUGAUCCAGCCAUGCCGCGUGUGUGAAGAAGGUCUUCGGAUUGUAAAGCACUUUAAGUUGGGAGGAAGGGCAGUAAAUUAAUACUUUGCUGUUUUGACGUUACCGUACAGAAUAAGCACCGGCUAACUCUGUGCCAGCCGCCG